GGAUUCGUCCAGGCGAAGCUGAGAACUUAAGCGCCAGUAAACGGCGGUGGUAACUAUAACCAUCCUAAGGUAGCGAAAUUCCUUGUCGGGUAAGUUCCGACCUGCACGAAUG
rnacentral:rRNA from 1 species